UCUGGCUAAUUUUGGUAUUUUCUGUAGAGAUGGGGUUUCGCCAUGUUGGCCAGGCUGGUCCCGAACUCCUAAACUCAAGUGAUCCUCCCACCUCAGCCUCCCAAAAUGCUGGGAUUACAGAUGUGAGCCACCAUGCUGGGCCCUACAUGGUUUCUACAUAAAAGCCUGAUGUAAUUAUCAUCUUUGCUCCUCUAUAAGUAAGCACAUCCAGCAAGUGAGAAGGGGGUGUACGAAGAAAGAGGAAAGAAGCCAACCACGUCCUGCUUUCUCGUUAAGCGUAGAAUUCUGAACUCCAGCAGACAAUGCACAGAAACCCAAAGAUCAAUGUGUUUCUAAAGGAUUAUAUUGCUGUCAAUGCUUCCCAGCCUGUUUAUUUAUUGUGAGAAACUUAACUCCUUCGAGCUUUUCAGUAAUUCACCCCUUUUGUCCAUGUCAAGAUGAAGUGGUCUCUUGUUUCUAACAAUGGACUAUUUGAUGAUCACAUCAUCAAAGCCACUGGAAGUGCACAAAGCAAGGAGGCAUGUCACACUGUGCAAAUGGCCUUCAGCUUGACUGCCAUGGCACCGCCACCAUUGUGUCACAUACGUGGCAAAGCCAGUGCCACAGAGGACACAGUCAUCAGGACAGACCAUCACCCAGGAUGGGAGAAUUCGCUUAAAAUACAGAGUCCAUGACCAUACUCAUGGGGACAUAUUUUACAUUCAUUAUUGAUAGCAGCAAACCAUGAACAGAAUUUUCAACCCUGCCUGAAAGAUGACUUGAAAUAAAAGGAGAGAAUGGGAGAAUAUAAUCAGAGAAGACUGUAUUAAAGGACGAUUCUUCCCCACAGGGAGAAGGCAUAUUUGAUUUAGUAACAAUUCCUCUUGGAUUUUGCUUGCAUUUGCUUCCUUUGUUCACGAGAAUCUAGCAGUUUUAGGUACCAUUGAGUCCUGUGUUUCAAGUUGGUAAAUGAGGCCUGUUUUCUUAGAAAGUUGUAUGCUAACAGUAAAAAAAAGGGGGAGGGGCAUUGUACAAUACUUUCCCUUGCUUUUAUAAGAAAAUCACUAUCACAAUUAGGCAUUUCCUCUACACUCAAUCUGUACAAAAUCGAUUUUAUUUCUCACAUUGUAUUGUCAUUUUCAUGUAAAUGUUCGUAUCCUCCAUUAUCCUGUAAGUGCCUCAUGGGCACAUACAAUGUCUCUCUCAUUCCUUGUUUACUUAAAAAAAGGUUUGCAAAUCUAAUAUUUGGACAUGGUUAACAAAAAUUAGUACAAAAGUAUAUACAAUAAAAAAACAACUUUCCUUCUCACUACAGAAUGACCGUCCUUUAGCCAGAAGAAAUUACCAUUGGUUUUCGUGUGCAUGUUCUUCAAGAAAUGUUCUGUGCAUAUAAAAUGUUUAUAACAUGGUGGUAUGUUACAUGAUCUUUCCUGAACACUGUUUAUUUCCCUUUAACAGUAUUUUUUUGCCUAACUUUUCACAUGAGCCUAUGAUCUAUGGAUAUGACAUAUUUUAUUAACAAAUUUCUUAUGAAUGAACAUUUGGAUGGUUUCCAGUUGCUUUUGUUACAAACAAGACCUCAAUAAACAUACUAAUUACAUUUUUAUGUACAUAUAUGAGUAUAACUGGAUGCUAAAUUUCUAAAAUAGAAUUUCUAAGUUAAAAAAGGCUAUCACUUAAAUUUUGUAAGAUAUUUCUGAACCUCACUAAAUUUUACUUCCAUCAACAGUGUAUGAUAGUCUCUUUUUCCCAUGACUUUGACAAUGCUGUGUAUCACCAAACAUGAUGACCUUUUCCAAUCAUGUAAGUGAAACAUGACGUCUUAUCUAAAUCUGUGUUUUUUAAAGUAAUGAAUGAAUUUGAGCAUUUAAAAACAUGUGUAUAUACUAGUUAUAUUUUAUAAGGUAUUUUGUAGUGUAAUUGUGGUUAGUUUUAGAAAAUAUUACAAGAGUAGAAUGCAAGGCGUAUUCUUUGUCUUCAGAGUAUAAAGUUCAAUUCAUCUUAUUAAGUUACUUUAAGUCCUUUCUAGUCUCUUUUUUUCUGAUCUGUUUGUCUACUUUUUCAUGAACUGACUUUGGGAGUUAAAGCCUCUUACUAUUAUAAUGUUUAUCAUUUUUCUUGUAUUUCUUUAUUAUUUUGAUUUAUAAAUUCUGAUGUUAUAUUUAUUGUGAUAAAUAGUUUAUUGAACCACUUAUUGAUAUAAGUUGUCUUUCUGGUCUUAUUUAAUGUUACCUACCUGAGUUUAGCAGUCUGAUAUUAACAUUAAAAUUCCUGAUUUUUGUAAUAUUUUCCUGUAAUACUUUCCUGUAAUAUUUUCCUGUAAUAUUUUACUUACACCUUCACUUGUAACAUUUCAAACACUUUAUUGUUUAUAUGUAUUUUGUAUAUCCAACAUAGUUGUUUUAUUUUUAUCUGUAUGUUGUUUAUAUUGCCUGUAUAUCAUUUAUACUGAGAUGUUAAUGUUUAUACUAUUUACAUUUGUAUGUGGCAUAUGUAUUUGAUCUUUUUUUGCCAUUUUGUUUUAUGCCUUCUGUUUUCAAUACUUUUUUAGAUUUUAAUAUUUUGCUCUAUUGAUGUGUUUUGUUUGCUUUUGUGUGUCCAUGCUUUUCCUACCAUUUUAGAAGUUUGUUUUCUUUUUUUUCCUCAGUGGAUUUAUAACUUGAUGUAAUUUACUUAAAUUUUUAUUCCUUUAUCAACUUUAGACAGCAUCUAUAAAAAUGUAAAUUUUUACUGCAAAAAUGAAGAAUUAAUACACUAUCUCACAUUUCCCACUGAGAUGAGGAAUUCACCAAACUGUACCAUUGGAUUUUUGGUGGCUAUAAUGUAUACAUUACAGUAUGUAUGAACUUAGACAACUAAUUUGAAUGUGUAUGACAGCUUCCAUACACAUUCAAAUUAGUUGUACUUUUCCAAACAAGGGUUUAUUAAUAAGACUUCUUAGGAAGUUCAACCUAUCUUUGGAGAACUCUGAGUUUUAGAGAACUCACUGCCUGAGAUGAUUAGAAGAAAACAAUACAUUUUCUUGUGGCUUCCUCCCUUGACCAUGUCCAAUUUGUUCUGCUCUCAGCAAUACUUCUCCACAGAUAGAAGAUCUGGGUUAUGGCUGUUGUCUAAGUUCAUGAAAAGUAAUGAAGCACAAGGGAUCAAAUAUAGCUUACCAAGCCACAUUUAAACUAAAGUCUAUUUAUUUGUCUACUUUUGGUGGCUAACACAAAGUUAAUUCUUGGUUAACAUUUGUUAAAUUAAGAACAAAAGAGUCAUCUCUAGAGAUUCUGGAGUAUAUCCAUACUGUAAUGUAUACUUUGCCAAUAAGUAAUUCCUAUACUUGCUUUUUUAUUUUUACAGUAAAUGUCAGUUACCUUGUACCUAUGAUUCACAAUGUUGUUUCUGAAAUUAUGUAUCAUUCUUGUAUCUUUAAGAUCAGAGUUAAAAUUUGUGACAAAUGAAAUAAUGUGGAUUUGAUAAAGGAGAGAGCUUCUCUUUGGUUAAGAAAGGAAGGAAUAGGCUGGGCGCGGUGGCUCACGCCUGUAAUCCCAGACACUUUGGGAGGCUGAGGUGGGCAGAUCAUGAGGUCAGGAGAUCAAG
rnacentral:lncRNA from 1 species